rnacentral:rRNA from 1 species
GAUGAACGCUGACGGCGUGCUUAACACAUGCAAGUCGAACGGAAAGGCCCAAGCUUGCUUGGGUACUCGAGUGGCGAACGGAUGAGUAACACGUGGGUGAUCUGCCCUGCACUUCGGGAUAAGCCUGGGAAACUGGGUCUAAUACCGGAUAGGACCACAUUUUGGAUGGUGUGGUGGAAAGUUUUUCGGUGUGGGAUGAGCUCGCGGCCUAUCAGCUUGUUGGUGGGGUAAUGGCCUACCAAGGCGUCGACGGGUAGCCGGCCUGAGAGGGUGUACGGCAACAUUGGGACUGAGAUACGGCCCAGACUCCUACGGGAGGCAGCAGUGGGGAAUAUUGCACAAUGGGCGCAAGCCUGAUGCAGCGACGCCGCGUGGGGGAUGACGGCCUUCGGGUUGUAAACUCCUUUCGCUAGGGACGAAGCGUUAUGUGACGGUACCUGGAGAAGAAGCACCGGCUAACUACGUG